CUACGGGUGGCACCAGUGGGGAAUAUUGCACAAUGGAGGAAACUCUGAUGCAGCAACGCCGCGUGGAGGAUGACACUUUUCGGAGCGUAAACUCCUUUUAUAUAGGAAGAAGAUGACGGUACUAUAUGAAUAAGCACCGGCUAACUCCGUGCCAGCAGCCGCGGUAAUACGGAGGGCGCAAGCGUUACUCGGAAUCACUGGGCGUAAAGAGCGUGUAGGCGGAUUAAAAAGUCAGAAGUGAAAUCCUAUAGCUUAACUAUAGAACUGCUUCUGAAACUCUUAAUCUAGAAUAUGGGAGAGGUAGAUGGAAUUUCUGGUGUAGGGGUAAAAUCCGUAGAGAUCAGAAGGAAUACCGAUUGCGAAGGCGAUCUACUAGAACAUUAUUGACGCUGAGACGCGAAAGCGUGGGGAGCAAACAGGAUUAGAUACCCGGGUAGUC
rnacentral:rRNA from 1 species